CCCCCAUUAGCAUAUAGGGAGUAGCACUGUUAGGAGGUGUGGCUUUGUUAGAGUAGGUAUGGACUUGUUGGAAGAAGUGUGUCACAGUUUUUUCCUGUUACUUUCUGAUCAAGAUGUAACUAGCACCAUGUCUGCCUGCAGGGCACUAUGCUUCCUGCCAUGAUGUCAGUGGACUGAACCUCUGGAACUACUGCUGGUCCUGUACCUCAAAGCCCGAUGAAAUCACAAGAUGGAAGGAGAAUGUUCAAACAGAGGAGUGCUUUCAUUCUAGGGCUGGCCAUUUGAAUUUCUUACUAUAAAGAAAUGAUCAGUGAGAAGAUAGAUACAUAUACCCAAGGAAUACUCAAUCAUACCAUAAGGACACAUGCUCAACUAUGUUCAUAGAAGCAUUAUUUGUAAUAGCCAGAACCUGGAAACAACCUAGAUGCCCUUCAACUGAAGAAUGGAUAAAUAAAAUGUGGUACAUAUACACAAUGGCGUGCUACUCAGCAGAGAAAAACAAUGAUUCAUGAGGUUUUCAGGCAAAUGGAUGGAACUAGAAAAUAUCAUCCUGAGUGAGCCAACCCAGAUCCAGAAAGACAA